rnacentral:rRNA from 1 species
GAUGAACGCUGGCGGCGUGCCUAAUACAUGCAAGUCGAGCGAACGGACGAGAAGCUUGCUUCUCUGAUGUUAGCGGCGGACGGGUGAGUAACACGUGGAUAACCUACCUAUAAGACUGGGAUAACUUCGGGAAACCGUAGCUAAUACCGGAUAAUAUUUUGAACCGCAUGGUUCAAAAGUGAAAGACGGUCUUGCUGUCACUUAUAGAUGGAUCCGCGCUGCAUUAGCUAGUUGGUAAGGUAACGGCUUACCAAGGCAACGAUGCAUAGCCGACCUGAGAGGGUGGUCGGCCACACUGGAACUUGGACACGGUCCAGACCCCUAAGGGGGGGCAGCAGAAGGAAUCUUUCGGAAAGGGGGAAAGGCUGACGGAGCAACCCCGGGGUAGGGAUUAAAGGUCUUCGAACGUUAAACUUUGUUAAUUGGGGAAGAAAUAUUUGUAAGUAAAUGUGCACAACUUGACCGGUCCCUAUCAGAAAGCCACGGCUAACUACGUG